GGCUUUUUGAUAAAAGCCAGAGUUGGAUAGAAGAAACUCAGACAAGAUAUUGAAACCUAUGUGGAAAUACUACCAGAGUGCUAGGCAGAGCACAGAUCUCUCUGGAGAUGUUCAACAUUCAGCUGAGUCUGCCUCUACAUUGAGCAAAGUUGAUGAAGGUACUAUAGCAGCUCCUGAACAUCCAACUGGGGUCAAGACAGUGCCAUUCUUCAGGGAGCUAACAAUUUAGUAGCAUGCGUGCUCUGAUGCUACCAAAGCUUAAUGCAAAUGCUGACACUGCAAUGGGAGCCUCAUCUCUUUAUGUCAGCUGUCAUUUCUUAAAAAAAAAAAAAAACCUACUAUAAAGAAAAUUGGCAAGCACUUGUUUUAGUAAUGAAAUGCAUUUUUCCGUGUGUCUAAGACAGUUGAAAUUAAAGUCUUUUGAGAAAAGCACCUGAAAACUCAGUGUACCUCCUGACUUGAUAAAUAAGGAUUUUAUUUCUAGGGAUGUGGCCCAUUUCACACUGGAAACCUGAAGGAUAGAAAUGGUAUUUUUUUUUAAAAAGGUAUAUCCUUUUUUAAAUGAAAAGCUGAAGUGAUCUUAAUUCCAGGUUGUCUUCUAAAUUGGGAAAUGUAGGGGGAGCAGGAAAGGUGAUUAUCAAGACCUCGGAACCUGAGGUCCUUGUUAUUUUGUAUGGCAGACAGCGUGCUCCCCUACCCCAGCAUCAUGCUUGGUCCAAGCAGGUCACAUGACUCCAGGCAGGCCAAUCAGGGCUAAUGAGAUUCGAUUCUGGCAAUUUGUUUGCAUUAUCAGGAAAGCCUGGGACUAUAGAGCUAACAGAUGAAUCCUGGUAACAUGCUCUGAGUCCUGAAUUAAGCUACACUUGAAACCUCAGGUCUGUUCCAUUAUUGUGAGUCAACAUACUCCCUCUCUCUGAGCCUAUUAGGUUUGGGUUUGAUGUCUUUGUAAUCAACUUUGGCAGACUCCUUGAACUUAAUAGGCUUAAACAAAUGUUUUAAGAGUAAACAUGUAGUGGCUUGAAUAUAGAAUCCUGUCUAUUUGCAAACAGUCAGACUUACUUGCAAAUAGCUGGAUGGACUACCCUUUUAAGAGAGUAAUUUGAAUCAUCAGCUUUGACUUGCGAUAAGGAGAAUAAAUAAAACUGUUUCCAUGCA
rnacentral:lncRNA from 1 species